GGCGGGGUCAGCUAAAAAAGCUUUCGGGCCCAUACCCCGAAAAUGAAGGUUAAACCCCCUCCCCCACCA
rnacentral:tRNA from 1 species